rnacentral:rRNA from 1 species
UACCACAUGCAAGUCGAGCGGUAGAGAGAAGCUUGCUUCUCUUGAGAGCGGCGGACGGGUGAGUAAUGCCUAGGAAUCUGCCUGGUAGUGGGGGAUAACGUCCGGAAACGGACGCUAAUACCGCAUACGUCCUACGGGAGAAAGCAGGGGACCUUCGGGCCUUGCGCUAUCAGAUGAGCCUAGGUCGGAUUAGCUAGUUGGUGGGGUAAUGGCUCACCAAGGCGACGAUCCGUAACUGGUCUGAGAGGAUGAUCAGUCACACUGGAACUGAGACACGGUCCAGACUCCUACGGGAGGCAGCAGUGGGGAAUAUUGGACAAUGGGCGAAAGCCUGAUCCAGCCAUGCCGCGUGUGUGAAGAAGGUCUUCGGAUUGUAAAGCACUUUAAGUUGGGAGGAAGGGCAGUAAAUUAAUACUUUGCUGUUUUGACGUUACCGACAGAAUAAGCACCGGCUAACUCUGUGCCAGCAGCCGCGGUAAUACAGAGGGUGCAAGCGUUAAUCGGAAUUACUGGGCGUAAAGCGCGCGUAGGUGGUUCGUUAAGUUGGAUGUGAAAUCCCCGGGCUCAACCUGGGAACUGCAUUCAAAACUGACGAGCUAGAGUAUGGUAGAGGGUGGUGGAAUUUCCUGUGUAGCGGUGAAAUGCGUAGAUAUAGGAAGGAACACCAGUGGCGAAGGCGACCACCUGGACUGAUACUGACACUGAGGUGCGAAAGCGUGGGGAGCAAAC